rnacentral:rRNA from 1 species
UACGUAUGGUGCAAGCGUUAUCCGGAUUUACUGGGCGUAAAGGGAGCGCAGGCGGCGCGCCAAGUCUGAUGUGAAACCCCGGGGCUCAACCCCGGGCAUGCAUUGGAAACUGGCGGGCUGGAGUGCCGGAGAGGUAAGCGGAAUUUCUAGUGUAGCGGUGAAAUGCGUAGAUAUUAGGAGGAACACCAGUGGCGAAGACGGCUUACUGGACGGCAACUGACGCUGAGGCUCGAAAGCGUGGGGAGCAAACAGG